GGGGGAAUAUUGCGCAAUGGGCGAAAGCCUGACGCAGCGACGCCGCGUGAGGGAUGAAGGUCUUCGGAUCGUAAACCUCUGUCAGCAGGGAAGAAAUUUUUAGUGUGCUAAUCAGCAUUAAAUUGACGGUACCUGCAAAGGAAGCACCGGCUAACUCCGUGCCAGCAGCCGCGGUAAUACGGAGGGUGCGAGCGUUAAUCGGAAUUACUGGGCGUAAAGCGCUCGUAGGUGGUAUGUCAAGUCAAGGGUGAAAUCCCCGCGCUCAACGUGGGAACUGCCUUUGAAACUGGCAGACUGGAGUGUGUGAGAGGAUAGUGGAAUUCCAGGUGUAGGAGUGAAAUCCGUAGAUAUCUGGAGGAACAUCAGUGGCGAAGGCGACUAUCUGACACAUAACUGACACUGAGGAGCGAAAGCGUGGGGUAGCAAACAGGAUUAGAUACC
rnacentral:rRNA from 1 species